CUGAUUAAUAGUAUUAAAUGGCCGCGGUAUUUUGACCGUGCAAAGGUAGCAUAAUCGUUAGUUUUUUAAUUGGAAUCUUGUAUGAAUGGUUGGACAAAAGAAGAUCUGUCUUUGUAUUGCUUAUUGAAUUUUACUUUUAAGUGAAAAGGCUUAAAUGUAUUAAAGGGACGAUAAGACCCUAUAAAGCUUAAUAUUAAAUUUUAUAUAGUCAAAUUUUAAAUUAUAAAGAUUUUGUAAAUUGAAUUUAUUUUAUUGGGGCGAUAAGAGUAAAAUGAUUAUUAACUGCUUAACAUUAAGUACACUUAUAUGUGAUUAAAAUUUUAAAUGAUCCUAAUUAAAGAUUAAAAGUUUAAGUUACUUUAGGGAUAACAGCGUUAUUUUUCUUAAGAGUACUUAUCGAAAGAAAAGUUUGCGACCUCGAUGUUGAAUUAAAAUAUCU
rnacentral:rRNA from 2 species